rnacentral:rRNA from 1 species
UACGAAGGGGGCUAGCGUUGCUCGGAAUUACUGGGCGUAAAGGGCGCGUAGGCGGCUAGUUUAGUCAGAGGUGAAAGCCCAGGGCUCAACCUUGGAAUUGCCUUUGAUACUGGCUAUCUUGAGUUCGGGAGAGGUGAGUGGAAUGCCGAGUGUAGAGGUGAAAUUCGUAGAUAUUCGGCGGAACACCAGUGGCGAAGGCGACUCACUGGCCCGAUACUGACGCUGAGGCGCGAAAGCGUGGGGAGCAAACAGG